rnacentral:rRNA from 1 species
UAGAGUUUGAUCCUGGCUCAGAUUGAACGCUGGCGGUAUGCUUUACACAUGCAAGUCGAACGGAUUAAGAAGCUUGCUUCUUAGUUAGUGGCGAACGGGUGAGUAAUAUAUCAGAACAUAUCCGGAAGUGGGGGAUAACGUAGCGAAAGUUACGCUAAUACCGCAUAUGCCCUGAGGGGGAAAGGGGGGGAUCGCAAGACCUCUCGCUUUCGGAGUGGCCGAUAUCGGAUUAGCUAGUAGGUGAGGUAAAGGCUCACCUAGGCGACGAUCCGUAGCUGGUCUGAGAGGACGACCAGCCACACUGGAACUGAGACACGGUCCAGACUCCUACGGGAGGCAGCAGUGGGGAAUUUUGGACAAUGGGCGCAAGCCUGAUCCAGCCAUGCCGCGUGAGUGAAGAAGGCCUUCGGGUUGUAAACCGCUUUUGUUCGGGAAGAAAUCCUCUGGGCUAAUACCCCGGGGGGAUGACGGUACCGGAAGAAUAAGCACCGGCUAACUACGUGCCAGCAGCCGCGGUAA